rnacentral:rRNA from 1 species
AACGAACGCUGGCGGCAGGCUUAACACAUGCAAGUCGAGCGCCCCGCAAGGGGAGCGGCAGACGGGUGAGUAACGCGUGGGAAUCUACCCAGCUCUACGGAAUAACUCAGGGAAACUUGUGCUAAUACCGUAUACGUCCUUCGGGGGAAAGAUUUAUCGGAGUUGGAUGAGCCCGCGUUGGAUUAGCUAGUUGGUGGGGUAAAGGCCUACCAAGGCGACGAUCCAUAGCUGGUCUGAGAGGAUGAUCAGCCACACUGGGACUGAGACACGGCCCAGACUCCUACGGGAGGCAGCAGUAGGGAAUAUUGGACAAUGGGCGCAAGCCUGAUCCAGCCAUGCCGCGUGAGUGAUGAAGGCCCUAGGGUUGUAAAGCUCUUUCACCGGUGAAGAUAAUGACGGUAACCGGAGAAGAAGCCCCGGCUAACUUCGUGCCAGCAGCCGCCGUAAAAC